CCAGGAUGGCAGGCUAAUCCAUGUCAGGUAUUUGCUCAGCAGUCCAAUUGGCCGCGGCUCCCCGAUGAGAGUCAUCCUGACCGGAUCGAUGUGCGGCGGCACCUGCCGGCUUUCCGGGCGCCUCCCGCCGAUCCCGGGACGACGGCGAGGGACUGGGACAAAGAACCAGGCAUCCCAGUAACCGUGACAACGUCGCUGAAGCUUCCUGCUGCAUUCAGGUCAUUGAGAUGUGAAGGCUGGUUUUUUACCAGAUACAGUAAACAG